ensembl:lncRNA
CAAAGCCGGAAGCAUAGAACGACAGCAGCUUUCAACUGUUGAACCCCUUCCUGUGGUUGGCCCACGUGGUUCUCGGCGCGGCUUCAAAAGGAGACGACUUCUUCUUCUUCGUCCACUUCUUGGAACGAGCGAAGCGGCAAGGGCAGGCUAGUGGCGCUCGUCAGGAGGAAGAAACUGAAAAUAAGUACAAGCUGGCGAAGGCAAAUCAGGAACUGGGCACUCUUCUCGUCGUACUGCUCCACUGAAGUGUGUUCACACCCGCAGCCAAACUGAGGGUGUCAGUUUGUCGGUGUUUCUUCUUUAUUAUUCGGGGUUGAUUGGUCAGAGUGCCAGGGCGCUCGUGCAGGGAGUGCGAGUGAAGAGGAGGAGAAGGAGGAGGAGGAACCGGACAAGCGACGGCAAAGGACGAUUGGAUGUACAGUGCAGUCAUCCAUAAAGUAGAAAGCACUACUAAACUCCUCGCCCACAGUGUAGUGUUUCCUACUUUAUGGAUGAGUGUACUGUUGGCUACGGGAGGCAGAGAACCGAGAGCGGCGAGGGCGGCACGCUGGAGCGGCACCCUGGGGCGCAAAUGAGGAAGGACGAAAAAGAGAGAGAGAAAAAGAGGAAGUGUCUCUCUCACACGUGGCCAUCUGCUCUCUGCUGUGUUACCGUUGUCGGGUCACAUGGGUGGUGGAUGGUGCGUUGGGGAGCCACGCCCCCCUUUUGGUUUCUUGAGGUCUGUGGUCCACUGCCCAAAUGUCUUGAAGUUGGGUAAUUAAAAGUGUUUUGCCAUCAUAUGAGUUUGUGUAGUUUUGUAUGUGCUUGGAUGUUUGAUGCAUGUAUAUUUGUGUAUGGGGGGGUGAUCGGUUUUGAAAGUCUUGGUUUUUUUGUAUUUCUAUUUUGUAGACAAAAUAAAAACUUUAUAAUUGUGCAGCUAUUUUCGACAUUUUCUUGACUCUUUAUUUUUUUGGUAUUUAUGAAGGGACAUCUUAUUAGUUAAAUGAGAAUCUUCAAAGAGAUUCUGCAACUAUUUCUGACAUUUAUUUACUCUUUCAGGGUAGGGUUAUGGAGGGCGAUGGUUUUAGUUAAAUGAGAAUCUUAAAUGAGAUUCUGCAGCUGGUUUGGACUGUUUGUGUUGACCCUCAUGGUAGUGUUGUGAAGAAACAUUUUCUUAGUUAAAUGACAAUCUUAAAAGGAGAUUCUGCAGCUAUUUUAGGAAAUGUUCUUCUCUACUUUUAGUAUUACCAAGGAACAGUUUAUCAGUUCAAUGAGAUCAGCACCACUUUUUCUGUGAAAAUAUACAUACUUUAUUCCAGUAAAAAGACUCAUAUUGAAUUCCCCACCAAUUCCGUCCUGUGCAUUAACCCCUUAGUUACUGUCUCCAACCAACACUGUCUUGACAUGCAAAAAGACGUCUGAAAAAAAACAUAUUAACAAAAAUAUUUACACAUGAGCUUCCAAAAGGGUAAUAAAAACAUGAAUAUAUAAAAGGUAACUCUUCCCUCGGUUUCAAAGAACGAACGCAGAUCAGGAAAAAGGAAAAGAAAAGAAAAAAAAAGAAAAAGUUCUCUCGUAUGAAAAUAUACCACAGUCGAAAAAUCCACACAGCGAACUCUGUUCCUUAUGUACAGACACGAACUCUACGGCCUUCUGCGCCCUACGGAUCCUUCAACGCUCGCUCAGAACACGUGAGAGUGGACCCCGACGACGACGACGCGACAAACACGGACAUAAAUAACAUAAAUAAGGCAGAAGACGGGCAGAACAUCAUCAUGCAACGCAGCCAAUAAACAUCCUGUAAACAACGCGUUAAGACUAAACAAGGUCUCGUAAGGCUAAAUAUUAGUAUUAUUCGUGGACCCUUUCUAAACGCUACCUAUGCCUCUAGGCCUUAGUCGGGGACGGGGGGACUGAGUAAGGGGGGGCAGCUGGCGGAAGCUAAACAGUCCGCUAUAGAUAAGCAUUAACAGUGUAGCCGCCUUAUGUUAGCGUUAGCAUAUGUGCUAGCAAGCUAGAGGAAGAGAAAAGGGAGGGGGAGGGAGUGCUUGAAUUGCAUUAAAGGCCGUCCAAUACAAAAUAGUGGUACAACUGUUUGUCCCUGUACAUUUCAGCAACUUUGAGGCAUCCCCUUAACCAACCACAUGAACAUAAAACCCGAUAAAUAACUAAAUAUUAAAUAAAUACACAGACCUCAAUUCUCGCUCUCUUAUCGGUAACUGUUAGCCCAAGUCUAAAGUGUCAUUGUUAACCCCCCUCCCCACUUGUGUUCUUCCUUGGCAUCUCUGCUCUUUAUUCUUCUCCCUUUUAUGUAGCACAGACUUACAGUACAUGUACUGAACCUAAACCUAACAACAGUCAUGACACGUGAACCAAAGAGCUAAAUGAAUUGUGACCAGGUGCGGCCUAUACUUCUACCAAACUGCGACUUGAGUCCAACUGUACAAACUACGGACUCAUCCGUCCUCUAUCGGGGCCGUGUUCCGCGCACGCCACUGGGUCUCGUCUCUCGGCUUGGCUAACCAGCUAUGCUAUGCUAGCACGCUACGCUAACCGGCUAACAGCACCGUGGAGUUUGGCAUCCUCUGUAGUUCUGAGACGCGCUGAUCCGACCCCUAUGGCCUGCAGACUGGCGCACACAGAAUCCACAAAAUAGUUUAAAUAAAAUCACAAACCUGAGAAAAUGACUUCACGUCCCUGUGUCGGGACAAACCACUUUUUCUACCAAAGACGAUCGCUGGGUGUUAUUACGUUGCCCGGGGCUCAUGGGAUAAGCAGCAACGCUAAGACAGUUCAAGACCCGUCUGAAAAGCUAAGCUAAGCCUUAGCCGACACAUUAGCUUCAAAAGCGUGGUCUAAAUUAAGACUAAGAGCAUGCAUUGCUGCUUAAAAUCUGAAACUAUUAUACACGGAUGUUCCUAAUCGUUGGUCGGACGGAUGGACGAUUGCGUCACUUGGAGGUCAAAGCUUCUACAUGCCGUGGUUUGAUCUAUAAUGUCAUAAUGCAAAACGGGUCGAGACAGAAAACCAGGCUCCCUAGUCAAUGCUAAACUGUGUGACUUAAUACCGCAAUGAGAAUAAUGAUCCCAUACCAGGCAACAGCCAUGUUUAAACAAAUGUUUGAAAAUGGCUCAGAAUACUUUUUAUACUUUCAAAAUAAUUAUACAUAUAUUUGUAUGCAUGCUUCGUAAAGGAGAA